rnacentral:lncRNA from 1 species
ACCGCCAAGGUUCUUUGUCGAGAACAACUUCAGCGGCUUGCAGGUAUUCGUGAGCCAUGCUGCAGCUGCUGCUGGUGUGCCUGAAGAGGAUGUGGCCCAGGAUCUUCCCCGUGCCCCAGCUCCACAUGCCGCAGCUGUGAGAUGUGGGCAACCGGCAGGCCGAGGCGCUGGAGUUACUAGCCGCGAACACCAGGCGGCCGGGCCAGGCAUCAUUGGAAAGCUGC